UACAUGGGGUGCAAACGUUGCUCGGAAUUAUUGGGCGUAAAGCGCACGUAGGUGGUCUGUUAUGUCAGAUGUGAAAGCCCUCGGCUUAACUGAGGAAGUGCACCUGAAACUGGCAGGCUUGAGUACGAAAGAGGGUCGCGGAAUUCCCGGUGUAGUGGUGAAAUGCGUAGAUAUCGGGAGGAACACCAGUGGCGAAGGCGACUUCCUGGCCUGUUCUUGACGCUGAGGCGCGAAAGCUAGGGGAGCAAACGGG
rnacentral:rRNA from 1 species